rnacentral:rRNA from 1 species
CAGCAUGGCCUUUAUGCCCAGGGCUACACACACGCUACAAUGGCCGGUACAAUGGGUUGCCAAGCCGCGAGGCGGAGCCAAUCCCAUCAAAGCCGGUCUCAGUUCGGAUUGGAGGCUGCAACCCGCCUCCAUGAAGCCGGAGUUGCUAGUAACCGCCGGUCAGCCAUACGGCGGUGAAUACGUUCCCGGGCCUUGUACACACCGCCCGUCAAGUCAUGGGAGCUGGCAACACCUGAAGCCGGUAGCCUAACCCGCAAGGGAGGGCGCCGUCUAGGGUGGGGCUGGUGACUGGGAAU